CUGAGGGCGGGGAUAACCCCGGAAAYGGGGGCUAAURCYGGAUAGAUGAUUUUUCSUGGAAUGGUUUUUGUUUAAAUGUUUUUUCGCCUAAGGAUGGGUCUGCGGCAGAUUASGGUAGUUUGUUAGGUAAUGGGUURCCAUACCUAUKAUCUGUACGGGUUGUGAGAGCAAGAGCCCGGAGAUGGAACCUGAGACAAGGUUMCAGGCCCUACGGGGCGCAGCAGGCGCGAAACCUCCSCAAUGUGAGAAAUCGSGRCGGGGGGAUCCCAAGUGCCAUUCUUAMCGGGAUGGCUUUUCUUAAGUGUAAAAAGCUUUUGGAAUAAGAAMUGGGCAAGMCCGGUGCCAGCCGSCGCGGUAACGCCGGCAGSUUUAGUGGUAGCUGUUUUUAUUGGGCYUAAAGCGUUCGUAGCCGGUUUGAUAAGUCGCUGUGAAAUCCUGUAGCUUAACUGUGAGAAUUGCUAAGGAUWCUGUUGAACUUGARSUCGGGAGAGGUUAGCGGUACUCCCAGGGUAGAGGKGAAAUUCUGUAAUCSKGGGAGGACCACCUAGGGCGAAGGCGGCUAACUGGAACKAWCCUGACGGUGAGGGAYGAAAGSUAGGGGC
rnacentral:rRNA from 1 species